CUGGGGUUGUAGCUCAGCGGUAGAGUGCUUGUUAAGCACAUGUGAGGCCCUGGGAUCGAUCCUCAGACCACAUA
rnacentral:tRNA from 1 species